rnacentral:rRNA from 1 species
GAUGAACGCUAGCGGCAGGCUUAACACAUGCAAGUCGAGGGGUAUGCCGAUUUAUCGGCAGAGACCGGCGCACGGGUGCGUAACGCGUAUGCAAUCUACCUUUCACAGAGGGAUAGCCCAGAGAAAUUUGGAUUAAUACCUCAUAGUAUAGCGGUUUCGCAUGAAACCACUAUUAAAGUUCCAACGGUAAAGAUGAGUAUGCGUCCCAUUAGCUAGAUGGUAAGGUAACGGCUUACCAUGGCUACGAUAGGUAGGGGUCCUGAGAGGGAGAUCCCCCACACUGGUACUGAGACACGGACCAGACUCCUACGGGAGGCAGCAGUGAGGAAUAUUGGACAAUGGGCGCAAGCCUGAUCCAGCCAUGCCGCGUGCAGGAAGAAGCAUCUAUGGUGUGUAAACUGCUUUUUGUACGGGAAGAAACACUCCUACGUGUAGGAGCUUGACGGUACCGUAAGAAUAAGGAUCGGCUAAACUCCGUGCCAGCAGCCG